UCAACGAGUGUAUUCUACUCCUAAGGUUGGGAUGAAGUAUCUGGUUUGAACUUGUUAUGUACCUGAUUCUGAACGUAGAUACUUCAUCCCAACCCAAGGCGUAGAAUGUGUUGA